rnacentral:rRNA from 1 species
AGUGAACGCUGGCGGUAGGCCUAACACAUGCAAGUCGAACGGCAGCACAGUAAGAGCUUGCUCUUACGGGUGGCGAGUGGCGGACGGGUGAGGAAUACAUCGGAAUCUACUUUUUCGUGGGGGAUAACGUAGGGAAACUUACGCUAAUACCGCAUACGACCUACGGGUGAAAGCAGGGGAUCUUCGGACCUUGCGCGAUUGAAUGAGCCGAUGUCGGAUUAGCUAGUUGGCGGGGUAAAGGCCCACCAAGGCGACGAUCCGUAGCUGGUCUGAGAGGAUGAUCAGCCACACUGGAACUGAGACACGGUCCAGACUCCUACGGGAGGCAGCAGUGGGGGAUAUUGGACAAUGGGCGCAAGCCUGAUCCAGCCAUACCGCGUGGGUGAAGAAGGCCUUCGGGUUGUAAAGCCCUUUUGUUGGGAAAGAAAAGCAGCAGGUUAAUACCCCGCUGUUCUGACGGUACCCGAAGAAUAAGCACCGGCUAACUUCGUG